UACGGAGGAUCCGAGCGUUAUCUGGAUUUAUUGGGUUUAAAGGGUGCGCAGGCGGGAGAUUAAGUCGGCGGUGAAAUUUUGCAGCUCAACUGUAAAAGUGCCAUUGAUACUGGUUUUCUUGAGUGUAGAUGAAGUAGGCGGAAUUUGUGGUGUAGCGGUGAAAUGCAUAGAUAUCACGAGGAACUCCGAUUGCGCAGGCAGCUUACUAAACUAUAACUGACGCUCAGGCACGAAGGCGUGGGGAUCAAACAGGAUUAGA
rnacentral:rRNA from 1 species